rnacentral:lncRNA from 1 species
AUUAUAUUUUAAGAAUAUGUAAUUACUAAUUAGAGUAAGAUUUAUAGUUAUUCAAAAUAAAAUUGGAUUUAAAGCAUCUGUUAUGACUUGAUGGCUAUAUAUAGUUAGGCAUGUAUUAAUUAGAUGAAUAAGGGUAUAGUAGGCAUGACGGCACAGGUGUUGUUCAGAAUAUAAUUAAUUACUUUUUAUUAACAAAAUAUUAGUUUAGUUAUUUCAAUCGGUAUCAGUACAAAUACCAGUUUCAAUAAAUGAUAUCAGAGCAAAUCACGCUUACACUAUAAAUAAAACAUGCAAUACUGUCAAAUCAUGAAUAUCAAAAUUU